rnacentral:rRNA from 1 species
ACCGCGAGGUGGAGGAAAUCACUAAAACUGGGCCCAGUUCAGAUUGAAGUCUGCAACUCGACUUCAUGAAGCCGGAAUCGCUAGUAAUGGCGUAUCAGCUACGACGCCGUGAAUACGUUCCCGGGCCUUGUACACACCGCCCGUCACAUCAUGGGAGUCGCUUGUAGCCGAAGUCGGCGCGCUAACCGCAAGGAGGCAGCCGCCUACGCUAUGAGCGGUAACUGGGAUGAAGUCGUAACAAGGUAGCCGUAGGGGAACCUGCGGCUGGAUCACCUCCUUUCUAAGGA